rnacentral:lncRNA from 1 species
GGCGACACCGGCGACUCGUGGGCGCUACGCUUGGGGCGGGCCCAUGCUCUGGUGCUUUGGGGAGAGAAGAAGGUAGGGAGGAUGGAGACCGCAGGGAGUAGGUGUGGCUGUUUGUUCAUGCGAGAAUAGGAGUACCUCCUCAGGGGUAAAAGAGUCUUUGUUCAACAAUAUUGAUGGACUUUAGUCCAAUUUAGUCCAUGGAAUCAAAUAACCAAGAUCAUUUACAAGUUUCCACACCCACAUGAUUAUUUUUCCGUCCUGGAUGAUGGUGAAGCCGUGAAGCAUUUGUUUCGCAUACAAAAGUUGCCACCGUUUGCAUGUCGCCUUAACGUUUUGAACGGCGAUAUUGAGACUCAGGCCAUGUUUGGCUCGUAGGUCGGCAUUAGCUUUGGAGUUUGUAAAAAUAAAUUAGUAUAAAUAUAUAUUUUAAUUCUAAAUUAAAGCAAGAUGACUCUCUCAAAUUAAACACUCCUGAUAUAUAUAAUUCUUGGAGUUCUAUCAAGAGUGUGCCAAACGAUCCCUGACUGCACAUUAUCAUUCAGAUUUUUCGAAACGUUCACGACCACCAAUAUUGGACUGGAAAAAUGUUCUAACUGGUUCAUUCUAUUGCUCAUUGUUAAAAACUAGAAAACGUUAUAUCUUAAUGAAAUUAAAAUUCAAUUGACUCCGGUGCCACGUUUGAUAGAUCCUUGUCUAAUUAAGCGUCUUUGUUUUUCUCCCCG